rnacentral:misc_RNA from 1 species
GAUGAAGAACGUAGCGAAAUGCGAUAAGUAAUGUGAAUUGCAGAAUUCAGUGAAUCAUCGAAUCUUUGAACGCACAUUGCGCCGCCAGCACUCUGGCGGGCAUGCCUGUUCGAGCGUCAUUUCAACCAUCAAGCCCCCAGGGGCUUGUGCUGGGGCCCUGCGGCUGCCCGCAGGCCCUGAAAACCAGUGGCGGGCUCGCUAGUCACACCGAGCGCAGUAGCACAUCUCGCUCAGGGCGUGCGGCGGGCUCCUGCCGUGAAACCCCCCACUGUAACCCCAAAGGUUGACCUCGGAUCAGGUAGGAAUACCCGCUGAACUUAAGCAUAUCAAUAAGCGGAGGA